rnacentral:rRNA from 1 species
UACGUAGGGGGCGAGCGUUGUUCGGAAUUACUGGGCGUAAAGGGUGCGUAGGCGGCGCGGUAAGUCGGGUGUGAAAUCUCGGGGCUUAACUCCGAAACUGCAUUCGAUACUGCCGUGCUUGAGGACUGGAGAGGAGACUGGAAUUUACGGUGUAGCGGUGAAAUGCGUAGAUAUCGUAAGGAAGACCAGUGGCGAAGGCGGGUCUCUGGACAGUUCCUGACGCUGAGGCACGAAGGUCAGGGGAGCAAACGGG